AGCCCCUGGCAGACAUCAAAGGCCAAAGACAGACCGGUUCCCAGAAAAGACACUCUCUGGCCAUUCCUGAAUGAGAUCCUGUCCUAUCAGCACAAGCUGUUCCACCAGAAACGUGUUGAUCCCUGCUAGAGCUGCAAACAGUUUGUCAGACUUUUAAACACUUGAGAACAAGCCACCUCCAUUCCCUGCCCGUGGGGCUGGCUCCUUGCCAUGCACCGUAAACAUCCAGGGAGUGCAAAGAGACCUCUGAUGGAGAAACAGAGGGCUCGAGGGUAUUGCUGACCCUUCACCAUCGUGCUGGAGAUCUCCUGUAGCAGCCCUGGAAGAGCAGAGGGGCCUCAACUUCUACGUUUGGGUUUGCUCAUGAAGUGAAGAUAAGCUCUCUGAUUCUCUAAGUUGAUUUGGCUGUUAAAGUAGAGCUCUUAGGCCUAGAAGCUCUGUGCUAUUACUGGCCAUGUGAUUUGCUGUGUCAUGUCACAUGUGACAUUGUCCACCUGUGAGGUUUCCCUAAUAUUCUAGCAUAAGGACUAUGUGAGACUGCAUUUACACAACUUAGUAUAACGUUAAUUGAAAUUAGUAAGUUAAUCAGAGAGCCCAAGGUGAAAGGUAUCUAUUUGAGUUUAUCCGUAGGGGACUUCUGAAGGAACAUUUUGAUGUCAGACAUCUAAGGGAAGGUGGAGGCAUUGGUCCCUACCUGACACUG